rnacentral:lncRNA from 1 species
AUAACCGGUAUCUGAAAGUCAUGCAGGCCAGCAGUAAACAACACAGAAGCCUUCCUCAACAUUCAUGAUCUCCUGUUAGUUGUUAUAACAUCCUAUCAUAUUUUUAUGAUAUUCUGAACUUUGUUUGGCUUGUUAUUGCAACGGAAAGUGAUAAGGAAGAUACGGGAUGUCAUAAACGGAGAAUAGAGUAUCAUAAUUACUAUUCAAAAGUCAUAUAUAUAGGCCAGC